rnacentral:rRNA from 1 species
GACGGAGGAUGCAAGCGUUAUCCGGAAUUACUGGGCGUAAAGCGCACGCAGGUGGCUGAGUCAGUCGAUUGUGAAAGCCCUGGGCUUAACCUGGGAAUUGCAGUCGAUACUACUCGGUUCGAGUAUGGGAGAGGGCAGUGGAAUUCCCGGUGUAGCGGUGAAAUGCGUAGAUAUCGGGAGGAACAUCAGUGGCGAAGGCGGCUGCCUGGCCCAAUACUGACACUCAGGUGCGACAGCGUGGGGAGCAAACAGG